UUUUUUUAAAUUUUGUCUGUGAAAAGUGUGCAAAGAAUAUAGGCAAUACGAAUCUUUUGUACGCCUCCGCCACAAAUACGGUGUUUUGCAUUUACGAAGGAAAAAUAUCUUUUUGAAUCUGUCUGAUAUUUAAACUUCUACAAGCCCGAGGAAAGCGAGAAGAAAAGUCAGAAGCCUUGAAGUGAAACAGGCAAAAAAGCCCGGAAAACCAGAUGACUAGAAUCCUUAGCUAACUGGUAUUAACAGCCAUAACAGGCCUAUCAUUUCGAAGCCAAUAAACCAAUGCAUCAUCGACUCUGUAGGCCUAAGGCCUUAUACAGGACUGUGACAAACUAAUGAGUUGAUGUGUUUAACAAGAUUUGCACAUUAUGUGGUAUCACUGGUUCAUGUAUAAACAGAUGAAAUGGCAUCAUGAUACUUUGAG